rnacentral:rRNA from 1 species
GAUGAACGCUGGCGGCGUGCCUAAUACAUGCAAGUAGAACGCUGAAGGAGGAGCUUGCUCUUCUGGAUGAGUUGCGAACGGGUGAGUAACGCGUAGGUAACCUGCCUGGUAGCGGGGGAUAACUAUUGGAAACGAUAGCUAAUACCGCAUAACAGUAGAUAUUGCAUGAUAUCUGCUUGAAAGGGGCAAUUGCUCCACUACCAGAUGGACCUGCGUUGUAUUAGCUAGUUGGUGAGGUAACGGCUCACCAAGGCGACGAUACAUAGCCGACCUGAGAGGGUGAUCGGCCACACUGGGACUGAGACACGGCCCAGACUCCUACGGGAGGCAGCAGUAGGGAAUCUUCGGCAAUGGACGGAAGUCUGACCGAGCAACGCCGCGUGAGUGAAGAAGGUUUUCGGAUCGUAAAGCUCUGUUGUAAGAGAAGAACGAGUGUGAGAGUGGAAAGUUC